AAAUUGAAGAGUUUGAUCAUGGCUCAGAUUGAACGCUGGCGGCAGGCCUAACACAUGCAAGUCGAACGGUAACAGGAAACAGCUUGCUGUUUCGCUGACGAGUGGCGGACGGGUGAGUAAUGUCUGGGAAACUGCCUGAUGGAGGGGGAUAACUACUGGAAACGGUAGCUAAUACCGCAUAACGUCGCAAGACCAAAGAGGGGGACCUUCGGGCCUCUUGCCAUCGGAUGUGCCCAGAUGGGAUUAGCUAGUAGGUGGGGUAACGGCUCACCUAGGCGACGAUCCCUAGCUGGUCUGAGAGGAUGACCAGCCACACUGGAACUGAGACACGGUCCAGACUCCUACGGGAGGCAGCAGUGGGGAAUAUUGCACAAUGGGCGCAAGCCUGAUGCAGCCAUGCCGCGUGUAUGAAGAAGGCCUUCGGGUUGUAAAGUACUUUCAGCGGGGAGGAAGGGAGUAAAGUUAAUACCUUUACUCAUUGACGUUACCCGCAGAAGAAGCACCGGCUAACUCCGUGCCAGCAGCCGCGGUAAUACGGAGGGUGCAAGCGUUAAUCGGAAUUACUGGGCGUAAAGCGCACGCAGGCGGUUUGUUAAGUCAGAUGUGAAAUCCCCGGGCUCAACCUGGGAACUGCAUCUGAUACUGGCAAGCUUGAGUCUCGUAGAGGGGGGUAGAAUUCCAGGUGUAGCGGUGAAAUGCGUAGAGAUCUGGAGGAAUACCGGUGGCGAAGGCGGCCCCCUGGACGAAGACUGACGCUCAGGUGCGAAAGCGUGGGGAGCAAACAGGAUUAGAUACCCUGGUAGUCCACGCCGUAAACGAUGUCGACUUGGAGGUUGUGCCCUUGAGGCGUGGCUUCCGGAGCUAACGCGUUAAGUCGACCGCCUGGGGAGUACGGCCGCAAGGUUAAAACUCAAAUGAAUUGACGGGGGCCCGCACAAGCGGUGGAGCAUGUGGUUUAAUUCGAUGCAACGCGAAGAACCUUACCUGGUCUUGACAUCCACAGAACUUUCCAGAGAUGGAUUGGUGCCUUCGGGAACUGUGAGACAGGUGCUGCAUGGCUGUCGUCAGCUCGUGUUGUGAAAUGUUGGGUUAAGUCCCGCAACGAGCGCAACCCUUAUCCUUUGUUGCCAGCGGUCCGGCCGGGAACUCAAAGGAGACUGCCAGUGAUAAACUGGAGGAAGGUGGGGAUGACGUCAAGUCAUCAU
rnacentral:rRNA from 1 species